CACUGGGGUGAGCUGGGGCCCUGUGAACGUGUGGGACCGGGGCUUGAACCUCUCCGAGGGGCGGAGGGGAGCCACACCGGCUCACUACACGUUCUCUGGCC